rnacentral:pre_miRNA from 1 species
GGGGGGAGGCCUUAUCCUGGGCUGUGUCCGGGCGCCCAGUGUCCCCGGGCCUGCGCUGUUGGGAUUCGUGCUCCAGGCCGCGCAGCCGCCU